rnacentral:rRNA from 1 species
GAUGAACGCUGGCUACAGGCUUAACACAUGCAAGUCGAGGGGAAACGACGGGGAAGCUUGCUUCCCCGGGCGUCGACCGGCGCACGGGUGAGUAACGCGUAUCCAACCUGCCUCUGACUGAGGGAUAACCCGUCGAAAGUCGGCCUAAUACCUCAUGGUAUCGUCUGCGGGCAUCCAACGACGAUUAAAGAUUUCAUCGGUCAGGGAUGGGGAUGCGUCUGGUUAGCUUGUUGGCGGGGUAACGGCCCACCAAGGCUACGAUCAGUAGGGGUUCUGAGAGGAAGGUCCCCCACAUUGGAACUGAGACACGGUCCAAACUCCUACGGGAGGCAGCAGUGAGGAAUAUUGGUCAAUGGGCGAGAGCCUGAAUCAGCCAAGUAGCGUGCAGGAAGACGGCCCUAUGGGUUGUAAACUGCUUUUAUGCGGGGAUAAAGUGAGGGACGUGUCCCUCAUUGCAGGUACCGCAUGAAUAAGGACCGGCUAAUUCCGUG